rnacentral:rRNA from 1 species
GACGAACGCUGGCGGCGUGCUUAACACAUGCAAGUCGAGCGGUAAGGCCCUUUCGGGGGUACACGAGCGGCGAACGGGUGAGUAACACGUGGGUGACCUGCCUCUAGCUCUGGGAUAAGCCUGGGAAGCUGGGUCUAAUACCGGAUAUGACCUUGCGGUGCAUGUUGCGGGGUGGAAAGCCUUGUGCGGCUAGGGAUGGGCCCGCGGCCUAUCAGCUUGUUGGUGGGGUGAUGGCCUACCAAGGCGACGACGGGUAGCCGGCCUGAGAGGGCGACCGGCCACACUGGGACUGAGACACGGCCCAGACUCCUACGGGAGGCAGCAGUGGGGAAUCUUGCGCAAUGGGCGAAAGCCUGACGCAGCGACGCCGCGUGAGGGAUGACGGCCU